UUGUAGGGCGUCUAUAAAAGUGGGCAUGAACAGCCAACACAAUUAAGCUAUUACAAUUUUGAAGUUUAGUACUUUGGUUAAUGUACUACCUUUAAACUUUUAAUAAGUGUCUUCAUUAUUACUCAUGUUAUUCACACGGAAGGGAUUAUAACAACAGUGAAUACAUAGAUUAUCAGUCAAAGAGCAGUUCAAAAUAUCUGUUUUGAAAUGGCAACCUCUGAGAGUUCACUUCAUAACAUUUCAGAUUUAGUGAAGGACUACGUUUGUGGCCCUUGCGAAAGUAAAAAUAUUGAGGAAAUUGCUGAUUAUUUUUGUGCAAUAUGUUUGAAGUUUUUCUGCAGAAAAUGCUUUAAUCUACAUGAUCAGUUAUAUACAAAUCAUUCCAAAUACGGGCGAGAAGAAACAAAUAACUGGCCUCUGACAAAGACCAUGGAGGAUUUGCUACUGAAAUGUGACGUCCACAAGAAUGAGAAACUGAAAAUGUUUUGCCAGGACCACAGUCAGCUGUGUUGCUCUGCUUGUGCUUGUCUGAAUCACAGACAGUGCGCCAGUGCGACUCUAAUUUGUGACUCAGUCCAAAAGAUGUCAGUGGAUAUGCAACAGUUGACCAUCAAUCUUCAAACUAUUCUUGAUGAAUUAAAUAAGUUAUUCCGUCUGUGGAGAUAACAUAUAGGAAACAAUUUAAAGAAAUCCGAGACCUGCGAAAUAAAUUAAAUGCUGAUUUGGAUGCACUAGAAAAUAAAACCUUGAAAGAACUGGAUGAAAUAAGGACCACAUUGCAAACCGCUCUGCAGAUGGACGUUGACAACUGCCGCAGAUUGAAGGAUGAACUAAACCAACUCAGGGAGGCUGUUUAUGUCCUUUGUGAUAAAAGCAACAAAGAACUUGAAUUCAUAGCCAGCAGAAAAUGUCUUGACAAAAUGCAAGAGUCUGAUUCGUAUCUAAAGAAGAAAUCUGUGAGGUUGGAUGACUCAAUAAUAUUCAAGGCAAACCGUGACAUUGAGAAGUACCUGUCUCAACAAUCAAGUCUAGGGAGGAUUGAAGACAGAAUGCAGUCUCUCACACUCAAGAUAAUCCCACACCAGAUAUUGACUGUUAAGAGCAAAUCUGAGUUUAUUGUAAGAAUAUCAAGUGACACAAGUCAGACUUGCAGUAUCAAAGGCAUUUGCUGCCUUCCUGGUGGCCGGGUGAUUGUCACAGAAUACCAUAAUAACAAAGUGAAGCUGUUUGACCCGCAUUAAGUGUCCAGUCACUGUGAUGUGUCUGGUUCUCCAUGUGACAUUUGCCAAAUUACAUCUAAGUGGGUGGCUGUAACUGUUAAUAAAGAUGUGAAGUUCAUCUCUGUGAUCAAUGGGCAGCUGGUGAGUGGGGGACGUAUCAGUUACAGCAUGAGGCUAAAGGUAUUGCUCUCCAUAAGGGAGCAUUGUAUGUCACCUCUGGCACUGCCCUCUACCACUACACUCUGACUGGAUCACUUGUGAAAAAGCUUUACGAGAAUGCAAGAAACUUAUGUACAGUGUGGAGAUGUGCAUUGAGUCCUUCUGGAGACAGGAUCUAUGUCACUAACAAGCACAUGCACAUCACUCUGGCUACAGAUGGCACCCGGAUAUCCACCUUCACGGACCCCGCUUUAAAAUGCCCAUAUGGUGUUCAUGUUACACCUUCAGGAAAGUGCUUGUCUGUGGAUGCGACUCCAAUACUGUCAUACAGUUGGAUCAUGAGGGAAGAAAGAAACUGGCAACUAUGGUAUCUCAGAAAGAUGGAGUUAGCAACCCAGUGUCUGUCUGCUACAACGCCAGCAAUCACCGGAUCAUUGUUGGGAUAAAUAAUAGCCAUACAAUCAAUGUUAUCGAAUUGCAAUAGCAAUUCCAAUGAUGUAAACACAUUGAUAUAAACGCGGUUAUAUGUGUUAUUUCUUUUCUUUUUUAUGGCACAUUCAAUCAUGGGAGUUUUUCUUUACUAACUAUUAUUCAAACUGUAUUUUGAAAAUGAGUUGAUUUAAUUGUUUAAAGAUUGUAGCAAACAAGGAUGUAUGACUGCUACCUAUGAUGUGUAUGCUGAUUAGUUCUUUUGUGUUGCUUUAGCCAACAAUAAGAUUAUCUUUGUUUUCCUUUGCCUACCAUACCUAUGAAAUUGUCCCUAUUUAAAUGAAGGUUGGGCUAAACUUAAAUCGCUUUUCCUUUCAAGAUUAAUCUUUAUUAUUUAUUAAACAAAACAUUAAAAGGACAUAAAGCCCAAGUGGACAAAGUAAGCGUACAGUGUUUACAAAUAAAAUAGAAAAUUAUUAUACAAAGUAAUAAUAUGAAGUGCAACUACAAUAAAUGUAUCAUUAAAUAUUUGGCUACUAUAUUUAUAAUUUUGAUAGUAUAUAUGUAAUUCAAUAUGUAUAUUUACGUCAAAUUGUAAUGGAGCUGAUGAAUUACAACACAUAUAUAAUAUGCUGUUAUGUACAUAUAUUAGGUCUUCAAAUUACAGUUGUAAUAAUAAUACUACUACUAUUUACUAAACCAAAGAAAUACAAUGCUUAUGUUUAUGAUAAUAGUAUUUAUAUAGCAGUAUGUUCAAAUAUGAAAGUAAUAGAACAUGCUUUAGACUAAAAGAACAAUAUGGUUUUAACUACAUAGAGGUAAUUUAUUUUGCUUAAUUUGCAUUGUUGGUUGUUGAACACUAUUAAAGCCAAUUUUACAUAUUUUUACAUCAUACCCAGACACCCUUGUAAAUCUGACACCUUAUAUCCUUAAAUUGACAUUUUUAUUACUACAUAAAUGUAAAACCUUCAUUAUGGUAAAAACAUUUAUACGGACAACCGUUCCUAUGCUUAUUUUGACAAGGCGGACAUUGGUUCCUACGUUAUUUUGACAAGAGGGACAGUCAUUCCUACAUUAUUUUGAAAGCCCGGACAAUCGUUUCUAAAUUAUUUUGACAUCUCGGAAUAGUGUUUCUACAUUAUUUUGACAACCCGGAUAGUCAUUCCUACAUUAUUUAGACAACCUGGACAAUGGUUUCUACAUUAUUUUGACAACCCGGACAAUUGUUCCUACAUGAUUUUGACAACCUGGGCAAUCAUUCCUAUAUUAUUUUGACAGCCCGAACAAUCCUUCCUACAUUAUUUUGAUAGCCCGGACAAUCCUUCCUACAUUAUUUUGACAGCCCGAACAAUCCUUCCUACAUUAUUUUGAUAGCCCGGACAAUCCUUCCUACAUUAUUUUGAUACCCCAGACAAUCAUUCCUACAUUAUUUUGAUAGCCCGGACAAUCCUUCCUACAUUAUUUUGAUAGCCCGGACAAUCCUUCCUGGCUACAUUAUUUUGAUAGCCAGGACAAUCCUCCCUACAUAAUUUUGACAGCCCGAACAAUCCUUCCUACAUUAUUUUGAUAGCCCGGACAAUCCUUCCUAUAUUAUUUUGAUAGCAAGGACAAUCGUUCCUACAUUAUUUUGAAAGCCCGGACAAUCAUUCCUACAUUGUAUGCAGACACCAAACAAUGGUUCCUAUAUUGUUACUAUCUUGGGCAUUCGUUCCUAAAUUAAAUUUAUGGAAAUAAGUGCAAACUUUGCAAAAGAAUAAAACAUGAGAACCGAAAAAGAAGUUGAUAGGUUGUUCUUUAUUUAACUUGUAUUUGUGAUGUUAUACACACGAAUUUACAGAAAGUAAAUGAACACAUAUGUAUAUGUAUAUAUAUACAUACACAAUACAAUAUGCAAAAAAAAAAAGCAAAUAGUGUAGGAACGCCUGUCCAGGUUGUAAACAUAAUGUAUGAACGACUGUCUGCCUUGUCACACAUAGUGUAGGAACAAUUGCCCGUGGGAAUGAUUGUCCGGUCUAAACACCUGGAGGAAAUUUAGUAUUUAAGCACAUGCAAAGUUGCAUAGAAGCAGCAUAAAAAAGUAGAUGCUAACAUAAAUUUAGACAACUACUAUUUGUUUCCUCUACAGGUAAGAGUAGUUUUUAUUUAAUUGUAUUUUUUUAUUUGAGAUAAAAUAACAUUUUUACUAUUCGUUUAUGGGUUGAAUGAUUACUUUUUUGUUAGGCAAUUUAGGACUAAAGUAAUUUCUGUGCAUUACCUUACAUAUUUAUUUGUAAGUUAACAAUUAACUAUUGGAAAUAUUACAUUUUCAUUUAUAUAAAUAUGUUUAUGGAUGUUUUGUUUAAUUAUUAAAAGUUCAUUUUUAGAUUAAUUGCAUGUAUAGCAAAUAUACUAUUAAACAAUUUUACCAUUUGUAUUUCAAAAGUAUUACUUAUGUGAAAAUAUAUCAAUGUAAUUGUUAUUUAGCAAAAAAU